rnacentral:lncRNA from 1 species
CAAAGAUCCUUUUGUCUUUUGCAAAGAAGGCAGCUGGGCAGCUGAUAGGAACAACAUUCAGCUCCGAGGCUGAAAGGGAAACAUCAGCCGCCCGGGGGGAGUUAAAAUGAGUGACAACACUACUCUGCCUGCUCCAGCUUCAAACCAGGGUCCUACCACCCCACGCAAAGGCCCUCCCAAGUUCAAGCAGAGGCAGACUCGCCAAUUCAAGAGUAAACCUCCAAAGAAAGGUGUGAAAGGAUUUGGAGAUGACAUUCCAGGAAUGGAGGGGCUAGGAACAGAUAUCACAGUGAUUUGUCCAUGGGAGGCAUUCAGCCACCUGGAAUUGCAUGAGCUCGCUCAGUUUGGGAUUAUCUGAAGUGCCAGAGGUUCUGCCACUCUCAAUGACAUCUGCUGUAAUUUUGGUUGCUUUUGCCCUGUUGAUCUGCCGGAGUCUUGAAAUUCAGCUGAUUGGAAGUGGUUUCUUUGACUUUCAAGGUCAUUCCCUAUCAGUUACUACUAAGAGUUCUCUUACUGUCAGAAUCUCUCUUGCAGUACAGCUCAAAAUAGUGGAUGCAUUUCAAACUUGACCACCUUUUCCUACCAGCUAGUUAGAAGUCAUCAAUAUUUCUCUACAUUUUGUUUAUCUGUAAGUCCUUUAAAUCUAUUUUUGCUAGGCAUUCAUUAUGAUUAAUAGUAGACUUUUAAGACAACAUUUAUGUCACUCCCCACCUCCUCAUAUUUAAUAAAGGAGAUAUUUACCUUGAA